AUUGAACGCUGGCGGCAGGCCUAACACAUGCCAGUCGAACGGUAACAGGAAACAGCUUGCUGUUUCGCUGACGAGUGGCGGACGGGUGAGUAAUGUCUGGGAAACUGCCUGAUGGAGGGGGAUAACUACUGGAAACGGUAGCUAAUACCGCAUAACGUCGCAAGACCAAAGAGGGGGACCCUCGGGCCUCUUGCCAUCGGAUGUGCCCAGAUGGGAUUAGCUUGUUGGUGGGGUAACGGCUCACCAAGGCGACGAUCCCUAGCUGGUCUGAGAGGAUGACCAGCCACACUGGAACUGAGACACGGUCCAGACUCCUACGGGAGGCAGCAGUGGGGAAUAUUGCACAAUGGGCGCAAGCCUGAUGCAGCCAUGCCGCGUGUAUGAAGAAGGCCUUCGGGUUGUAAAGUACUUUCAGCGGGGAGGAAGGGAGUAAAGUUAAUACCUUUGCUCAUUGACGUUACCCGCAGAAGAAGCACCGGCUAACUCCGU
rnacentral:rRNA from 1 species